CUGCGUUCGGACCCGUCUGAUCGUAAAUCCCAUGUAAGGUACCUGCCGUCGGAAGAUUUGAACGUUCUACUUGGACACCUAAAACCCACAGUCCUCCAGACAGAAAGACAACAGGUACAAAGCCCUAAGGAUUAUAAAGGUAUGCUGCUUACCAUCAUCUUAGUGACCAAGGCAGCGAAGCUGUUUCUGUACCUUGGAACAGUCUUCCCUGACAAGCCAGAGAACAGUGAUAAAGCCACCAGCCUUGGGAUCAGGACUGAAAAGGCAAGAGUGAUGGAGAUUUCUCCUGCGCUAAGCCAAGAGAAGGUUUCAGCACUUCAGACAGCUCCCACCGAAGUAGCCGCGCUCCCAGCUGCUUGCAGAUGUUGAAAAGGAAAGCCUCGGUUUGUCUUGAGGUUGUCAGCAGGUGCAAGACACGUAAUAAAAUGCAAUGUGUUCCUAA
rnacentral:lncRNA from 1 species